rnacentral:rRNA from 1 species
UGAACGCUGGCGGCGUGCCUAAUACAUGCAAGUCGAGCGAACAGACGAGGAGCUUGCUCCUCUGACGUUAGCGGCGGACGGGUGAGUAACACGUGGAUAACCUACCUAUAAGACUGGGAUAACUUCGGGAAACCGGAGCUAAUACCGGAUAAUAUAUUGAACCGCAUGGUUCAAUAGUGAAAGACGGUUUUGCUGUCACUUAUAGAUGGAUCCGCGCCGCAUUAGCUAGUUGGUAAGGUAACGGCUUACCAAGGCAACGAUGCGUAGCCGACCUGAGAGGGUGAUCGGCCACACUGGAACUGAGACACGGUCCAGACUCCUACGGGAGGCAGCAGUAGGGAAUCUUCCGCAAUGGGCGAAAGCCUGACGGAGCAACGCCGCGUGAGUGAUGAAGGUCUUCGGGUCGUAAAACUCUGUUAUUAGGGAAGAACAAAUGUGUAAGUAACUAUGCACGUCUUGACGGUACCUAAUCAGAAAGCCACGGCUAACUACGUG